rnacentral:rRNA from 1 species
CUAAACCUACGGGGGGCAGCAGUGAGGAAUAUUGGUCAAUGGACGAGAGUCUGAACCAGCCAAGUAGCGUGAAGGAUGACUGCCCUAUGGGUUGUAAACUUCUUUUAUAUGGGAAUAAAGUGAGCCACGUGUGGCUUUUUGUAUGUACCAUACGAAUAAGGAUCGGCUAACUCCGUGCCAGCAGCCGCGGUAAUACGGAGGAUGCGAGCGUUAUCCGGAUUUAUUGGGUUUAAAGGGUGCGUAGGCGGAAUGCCAAGUCAGCGGUAAAAUCGCGGGGCUCAACCUCGCUCCGCCGUUGAAACUGG